CGAGGAAAACGCGGGGUGACCAGAUAGCCGGGCCACCACGUCUGAAAGCCCAUGUGCCGAGGGCAGUUGCAACCUCGCUAGCUGCUACCGCUUGCCAGUUGCCGUUCUCCCGUGCGAGGACAAGGCAGUACAGUACAAUGGCUGUGCGGCUCUGCUGCUGCUGCUUCCUCCUCUUCGUCACCAUCGCUGCCGCCGGUGGCUCCCUGACGCGGACGAACGUCGCGACGCUGCCGGGGUUCGACGGCGCGCUGCCUUCACGCCUCGAGACCGGGUACGUGACGGUCGACGAGGAGAACGGCGCCGAGCUGUUCUACUACUUCAUCGAGUCGGAGGGCGACCCCAGCACCGACCCCGUCCUCCUCUGGAUCACCGGCGGCGACCGCUGCUCCGUCCUCAGCGCCCUCUUCUUCGAGAUUGGGCCGUUGAAGCUGGUCAUCGAGCCCUACAACGGCAGCUUGCCGCGGCUGCACUACCACCCUUACUCGUGGACAAAGGUCGCCAGCAUCCUCUUCGUCGACUCGCCGGUCGGCGCCGGCUUCUCCUUCUCAAGGGACCCUAAGGGGUACGACGUCGGCGACGUCUCUGCUUCGAUGCAGCUCAUCAAGCUUCUCAGGGAGUGGUUCACUGAGUAUCCGCACUACCUCUCAAAUCCGUUCUACGUUGGAGGAGACUCCUAUGCCGGAAAGAUCGUCCCGUUUAUCGUGCAGAAGAUCUCGGAAGAUAUUGAAGCUGGCGUCAGACCGACGUUUAAUCUGAAGGGCUAUCUGGUAGGUAAUCCGAGUACAGGGGAACGCAUUGACCUCGAAUCAAGAGUGCCGUACAGCCAUGGAGUCGGAAUCAUUUCAGAUCAGUUAUAUGAGAUGAUAAUGGAGCACUGCGAAGGUGAGGAUUAUGACAAUCCCAGCAACGUGAUUUGCCAACAAGCUUUGGCUAGGUUUGACAGCCUACUACACGAAGGUUCGAGGGCCCAAAUUUUGAACCCAAAUUGCAUUUAUGUGUCCCCCAAGCCAAAUCAUGAGACAAUCGACAGAAAGAUCUUGAAGGGGGAGCAUGGAGGACUAAAACAUCCACCUCCUCAACCUUCAAUAAAAUGUGGUGUCUAUGCCAACUAUUUGUCAUAUUUUUGGGCAAACAACAACUUUACACGAAGAACUCUAGGAAUCAAGAAGGGCACCAUAAAUGAAUGGGUUAGGUGCCACGAACAUGAUCUACCAUACAACAUCGACAUCAGGAGCAGCAUAAAGUAUCAUCGAAAUGUUACACUAAAAGUGGUGACCACGAUGCUGUUGUGCCAUUCCUCGGGACACAAGCCUGGGUGAGAUCACUCAACUACCCAAUUGUGGAUGACUGGAGAGCCUGGCAUAUCGAUGGCCAGUCUGCUGGAUUCACCAUAGCAUAUGGAAACAAUUUGACAUUCGCUACAGUAAAGGGUGCUGGACACACUGCACCAGAGUUUGAGCCGGAGAGGUGCUUUGCAAUGUUUAAGCGUUGGAUUUCCAGCAUACCACUAUGAUGAUGGAUGUGCAUAUCGUGUAACUUGCACAAAUGGAGGAUUGUAGUAUGAAUGUCAUGGGUGAAUAAAAUCAAUUCUUUUUUGGGAAGGCUCAAAACAAGACUAUUUUUUGUAAAUUUGAUUCUUUUUGACGAGACCCCCACUAGGUUCCAGGCGGACCAGAAGUCCUCUCACCUACAAAAAUCGCUCCUUGGGGAUGGUUAAGGGGCCGCAUGCAAAAAUUU